CGGAUUAGGGCCGGGUGGUAAGGCACCUCAUUUGGGAUGGGGAUUUCCUAUGUUCGAAUCAUAGUAAUCCGA